rnacentral:rRNA from 1 species
UACGUAGGGUGCAAGCGUUGUCCGGAAUUAUUGGGCGUAAAGCGCACGUAGGCGGCUUUGUAAGUUAGAGGUGAAAGCCCGGGGCUCAACUCCGAGCCUGCUUCCGAUACGGGCAGACUAGAGGUAGGCAGGGGAGAGCGGAACUCCUGGUGUAGCGGUGGAAUGCGCAGAUAUCAGGAAGAACACCGGUGGCGAAGGCGGUUCUCUGGGCAUUACCUGACGCUGAGGAGCGAAAGCAUGGGGAGCGAACAGG